AUUUUGGAAAACCAUAGAGCCGAAUUGUAGGAGCCGGUUUUAAACACUAAUACUGACCACUGUACCAGGUACGCCUGUACUGAUCUGUCUGUCUCUUGUUUUACCUACACACGUGAACACUUACCCAGUCUUGCAGGACGAAUAAUAAUGGACGUUGAUUAUAAUAUUUCUAAAUACUGAACCAUCGACGAUCAUCACAUCCUGAACACGAAUCUACACAGGACUCAUCCACAAACACGUUAAAGAUACACAGAAAGCGAGUAGUAGGUUCGAUACACAAAUAUAUACGAUACAUUUGAUGUAUUCAUCAUGCUGAUACAAGUUGGUGCAUAAUACUUAUACACGUUGGAAAUACACAGAAGGCGAGUGUGAUGUAUUCAUCAUGCUAAUACAAAUUGGUGCAUAACACUUAUACACGUUGGAAAUACAGAGAAGGCGAGUGUGAUGUAAUCAUCAUGCUGAUACAAAUUGGUGCAUAACACUUAUACACGUUGAAAAUACACAUGCCAAGUGUGUAAUGCUAUACCGAAACUAAUGAAAUAUACUGAUGCAAGGUGGUGCAAAACACAUCCGAAACCGAAAUACAUAAGAAAAAAUUUGAUGUAUUUAUCAUACUGAUACAAAUUGGUGCAAAACACUUAUGAUCAUUGGAAAUACACAGAAGGCGAGUGUGAUGUAUUCAUCAUGCUGAUACAAGUUGGUGCAUAACACUUAUACACGUUGGAAAUACACAGAAGGCGAGUGUGAUGUAUUUAUCAUACUGAUACAAAUUGGUGCAUAACACUUAUUAUACGUUGGAAAUACACAGAAGGCGAGUAACACUUAUGUAACACGUGUAACACAUAAACACGUUGGAAGUACACAGAAGUCGGUUUCAAAGUUCUACACCGAAAUACAUAAGAAACUUUUAAUAUAUUCACCGUGGUGAUGCAAAUUGGUGCAAAACACUUAUGAUCAUUGGAAAUACACAGAAGGCGAGUGUGAUGUAUUCAUCAUGCUGAUACAAAUUGGUGCGUAACACUUAAAUCGAUGAAUCUAUAAAGACUUUUGAGAUACACUGGUCGAGUGUUAAGUUGUUCUAUGCCGAAAUACACACGAAGAUUGACGAUUCAUUCAAAUGAGACGCGGAGACAUUUGAAGUAUACAUCAUUCUGAUUCGGAUUGGUGCAUUUGUAACUGAACUAUGUAAUAAAUAUAUUUUGAUACUUACAUUAUAAA